rnacentral:rRNA from 1 species
GUGGGGGAUAUUGCACAAUGGGGGAAACCCUGAUGCAGCAAUGCCGCGUGAGGGAAGAAGGUCUUCGGAUUGUAAACCUAAGUUGUCAGGGACGAACAAAUGACGGUACCUGAAAAGAAAGCUCCGGCUAACUACGUGCCAGCAGCCGCGGUAAUACGUAGGGAGCGAGCGUUGUCCGGAUUUACUGGGUGUAAAGGGUGCGUAGGCGGGUUUGCAAGUCAGGCGUGAAAUACCGAGGCUUAACUUCGGGGCUGCGCUUGAAACUGUAGAUCUUGAGUGAAGUAGAGGUAGGCGGAAUUCCUAGUGUAGCGGUGAAAUGCGUAGAUAUUAGGAGGAACACCAGUGGCGAAGGCGGCCUACUGGGCUUUAACUGACGCUGAGGCACGAAAGCAUGGGGAGCAAACAGGAUUAGAAACCCUAGUAGUCC